CCCCUAGAUGUUCUGGGCCGCACGCGCGCUACACUGAACAGUUCAACAAGUCUUAACCUUGGCCGACAGGCCUGGGCAAUCUUUGAACAUCGAUCGUGAUCGGGAUAGAUUCUUGUAAUUUUUGAUCUUAAACGAGGAAUUCCUAGUAAACGCAAGUCAUCAGCUUGCAUUGAUUACGUCCCUGCCCUUUGUACACACCGCCCGUCGCACCUACCGAUUGAAUGGUCCGGUGAAAUCUCCGGACUGGCGUGAGUCGGAGCAAUCUGACAAACACCGGAAAGUUGAUUAAACCUUACCAUUUAGAGGAAGGUGAANUCGUAACA
rnacentral:rRNA from 1 species